ACACACACACACACACACACACACCCUUCCUGCCGCGCUAAAGAACACGCCAGCCCUGGGAAAGAGAAAUAAACAUGUGAGAGAGGGGAGGUGGGUUGAAAAACAGCAGCGCUCUGGGAGCAAAAUAGCCCCUAAGAAGUUGCAAACCUCUUUGGUGGAGGGAAGAGUCAGACCUUAGGGUGGUCCUGGUGGAGGAAGGCUAAGCCUUUAGAAUAUGGCUAACGGGGCUCCAUGAAGGAGAUCCCUGGACAGAGGUUCACAACCAGUAAGGAUUUUGAUUUCAAAGAGCCAGUGGGAAGGAAUUCCUUAGCCUGGACAGCCUCUUCCAUGCUCAUCUCCCAUCAGCAAAGCAGAACAGACGCAUCAGGCUCUGCCGGCCAGAGAGAUUUUGUGGAGUAGGAGACAUCGUGGUUCUGCUUCCAAGCGGUGGGGCUUGAACACAGGGACCUGUCUUUGCACCUUUGGGAGUAUGUCAACAUUGCUGCAAGCUGCAGAUGGGGCCACCGAUGGGAUACCACCGAGAGCUCUGGCUGGGACACCCAGCACAGAGAGUGGAGGUAAGGCAUGGAAUCAAAGAGACCUGCAUUCUUGGGGGCUCCCAAGCCAUUGGUUCGGGGAGUGGUGGUGCCUCUGAAAGUAAUCCUUUAGUUAGCACAGAUGAGCAACAUCAUAAAUUUGCAGCAGGCUGGAGGGAAGUAAAGGGAACUGAAAAAAGAAUGAGAAAGAGGUAUCCAUACUGUGCACACCUACUUAUUUCGUUCCACUGUCACUUCUGGUUGCACAACCUAUCCAGCAGGUUUCUUAUACCACCUGGAACCCUGCAAAGGCUGGGUGCCGGUGGUGAAACCUGGGUGAGUGUGUACAUGCAGAUAGCAAUGGUGAUCCCUCUUUCAGUUCUCUUGAGAAAAGUAGCAUUUCUUUCCAGCCUCAUCCAAACUCCUGCCCACAUAAUCAGAGCAGCAAAGGGAGGAAUUAGUUUCCACUUUCUCAAUGCAUGGUUAGAGUCUAGAACAGAGAUUCCUGACUGUGUUAGCAACUGCAGUUAAAGAACCAGGGAGCCAGAGCUUUUAUGGAUUAAGUAAUCUGGGAUUCAAGAAUGGGAGGCCAAGAAUAAAUCCUGAAAAUAUAUGGGAUUGUGGCAAAGAAACAGAGUUAAGUGAGGGAAGAACAGGAAAUCAGGACAAUAUUUUGAAAUGGGCAGCGGGAACACCACAGAUCCUUAAGAUCUGAUAUAUAUUUGGGCCCAGUUGCUGGUGUGACCAUCUUCCUUCAGAUCUGCAUGCUUUCUGGAGUAGUAUUAAUAGAUAAUUGUUUUUCCGUUUAUACUCUCUUGAUCUGAGAUAUUUUCUAAUCCUUCAUUUACUUCAACUUCAAGCCAUGCAAGAGUAAUUGGAAGCAGAAAGGGCAAGUAUACCCUGCAGAGAUUUGACCUAAUUCAGAGGGUUUAUACUCUUCUGUACUCCAGUACUGCAUGUGGUGGGAGGCAAAGUAAUAUUAGCAAGAAUGUCAAGCCCUUGUCUCAAAGAGCUUACAAUUUAAAUGUUGACAGCAUCCCAAGCACAGGUGCUCUUGGCUCACAGUGGCCUUGCACAUGUCACAACAUGGCACAUGUCCCCCCCUUUGUGCCAAUGGAAGAGGCUUUUAAAAAUGAUGCCUCCUGUGAAAAGGCAGAGUGGAAUUAAAUGUCUGUCCCUUUCUCCUUCCAGAGCAUGGGGUCACCCACUGAAGUUGACAGGCAGGCAACAGAUUCAGGAUAUACUUUUUCACAAGAAAGCUAUUAAAUAUGAUAGCUAAGUGGAACCUCCCUGUUCAGAAGCACUGUAUCUCUGGGUCCCAAGUGUUGAGAUAAGUAAGAGAGGAGAGGUGUUGUCUUCAUGCCCUCCUUGCAAGCUUCUCAGAAAUUACCCAGAUUGACAUACAAGAUAGGGUUUUGUUCUACUCAGUCAGAGCAGGUAUCUUAGAGAGCUGUGUUAGUCAGGGAUAUAGAAAAAGAUAUAUUGUACUUUCAAUUACAAUAAUUAUUAAGGAAUUUAUAGAGGCUGACCAAUAACAUAAUUAUUUGAGUGGCUCACAAAGAUAAAACUAUAAAUUUCAAUAUGAAUUAUAAGAACAAUUGCAGCACUUUUUUUAUAUACAAUCAGUGUGAUAGAAAUUCAGAUUUUAAAACCUCGGGAGAACAAAGAGGCCUUCAGCUGGCACGGAAGGUGCCAGGUGAGCCUCUCCACUGUACCUGGAGUGUCACUGAUGAGAAAGGCCUUCUCCCUAAUACGGAUUGGGAGCAAUUCGAUUCAGCAACUAAUUCUCACUUUCUGAAACAAUCCCUGAACUGAAACACAACCAUUCCUUUAAAAAUUCACACUUCUCUUAAUUUUGAAAUGAAAUUCUCCAGCCGAGUAAUAUGUGCACAAAUGUAUUUACUCAGGUGAACUGUGCAUAAAAAUGUAUACAUUAGUGAAAAUUAUUGAAAAGUGCAGUAUAACUGGGAAAAUUCCUUUGCAAAAAUGUGUCUACUAGGCAAGAUUGUGUGCAAAAAUCUGUGCAGUAGAAAUUCAAAAAUGCUGAUUAAUUUUCAUGAGUGUUUUGGUUUUUUAAAGACAACCCUGCAAACCAAUAUGGUAAUGUGAAGAACUCAAUUUGAGAGAAACUGUCAGAUUUGCCGAUCUCUUCUCCUGAGUAGCCACUCACCUCACAGGGGCAGGAAGUGGACAGGAGCCAUUGAAAAUCUUAGUAUGUUAGCCUGUCCUUUAGACUGAAACUGGCCAGUUAACUCUAGCUGGGAACAUCAGCGUCCCAGAGGUGAAUGACAAACAAAUUGUCUCAGGACAGCCUGUCCUGGGUUAAUUGCUCCUGCUUUGCAGUGUAACACCUGACCCUGCAAUUCAGUCUAUGCAAGCACCCAGGAUUAGCUUAGGUUAAAGGAGAAAGUUAUUAAAUUCCUGUUUAUCAUUAUUUCCUGUUAUGCUCAUAAACACUUCCAGCGUCUUGGACAGAAUAAGCAAUUGUAGGUGCUUGUCAGCCAAGCUUGACACUGCCAGGGCAGCUAGCCCACAGGGGCAGAUUUGAAAUGCCAUGAAAGGGUCGGAAAUGGUGUCAACCUUUUUUUCUUGAAGUGCAAUAAUAUUUCUACCAAUGGGCAAGGUGGUGGAGAUGAUGGGAAGGAAGACACUUGGCUUUUCUGCCUCAGGACCAACCUCCCCAGCCACACCGAAGAGAGGGAUCAAAUUCAGACUGGAGCAGUGGCAUUAGGGGAGACGAGGAUUUUAAUAGGGCUGGUCCAAUACAUUUUGCUGCCUGAGGCAGCACAGGCCUCUCCUGCUUCCAUAUAAUGAAGCUGAUCAGACUAGCAACAGCUGAACCUUGUUUUAGGAUCGUUUCCUUCACAAAACCUGAGGCCAUUUGGCAAGCUUAGGGGGCACAGGGCAGCCUGUGUGGCACACAAAAAUUCUGCCUUCAAGCACUUUGUUGCCACUCUUCCCACCCCUCACAUCCACCACAUGAAGCGGCUGCCUCACUCUGCCCAAUAUGAGGGCCAGCCCAGAAUUUUAACCAGAUCAUUUCCCCAAAUAAUUCCUUCCUAAAGCUGUUGGUAACCUGCAGCAUAUGUACAAAUGGUAAGAUACCUGUAUAAUAUCUGUAUCCUCCCCCCAUCCGCUCCGCUUUACAAGGCUGAAAGCUAUUGAGAGUGAUUAUUUUAGAUGUGGAAGAGGGACACCCUCUCUCCCCUGUGCUGCUGCUUCACUUACAGGUAUAAGAACCAAGCAGCUGUAUACAGUGCUUUAAUGUAAAAAGAAAACAUAUUUGCUACAUCUUUGGGCUGCUCCUGACAAUGUAUUUUAGAGAGAGGUAAAUAUGGGAUGUGGGUGGCGCUGUGGGUUAAACCACUGCCGCUUGGACUUACUGAUCGGAAGGUCGGCAGUUCAAAUCCCCGUGACAGGGUGAGCUCCCAUUGCUCACCUAGCAGUUGGAAAGCACGUCAAGUGCAAGUAGAUAAAUAGGUACCGCUCCGCCAGGAAGGUAAACGGCUUUUCCGUGCGCUGCUCUGGUUCGCCAGAAGCGGCUUAUUCAUGCUGGCCACAUGACCUGGAAAAACUGUCUGCGGACAAACGUCGGCUCCCUCGGUCUAUAGAGCAAGAUGAGCGCACAACCCCAGACUGGAUCUAACAGUCAGGGGUACCUUUACCUUUUAAAUAUUGUUUGAGGAGGAGCUGGUGGCUGCUGCUCCCCAUCACAGCCAGCCCCACACAAAUGUGUAAGAGCCUGUGUGAGGAGGGCACACCGAGCAGAGGCCCAGGGACAAGACCAGGGGUAGGCAACCAAAGCCCAGUGAGCUGGAUGCGGCCCAAUCGCCUUCUCAGUGUGGCCCGCAGAUGGUCUGGGAAUCAGCAUGGUUUUAGAAGAGUAGAAUGUGUCCUUUUAUUUAAAAUGCAUCUCUGGGUUAUUUGUGGGGCAUAGGAAUUCGUUCAUCCCCCCCCCCCAAAAAAUAUAGUCUGGCCCACCACAUGGUCUGAGGGACGGUGGACCAGCCCACGGCUGAAAAGGGUUGCUGACCCCUGGAUAAGACCCAUGCCUUGUACGGAAAACGUUUCAGUCUGCAGCAUUUUCUCCAAGCAGAGUCUCCUCAAAAUCCAGUCGACCUUCUUUCAGCUAUUAUAGACGAUGCUCUGCUAGAUGGACUCAGUGGUUUGCCUUUGGGUAAGGCAGCUGCCUCUGUCAUCUCUGGGAAGAGCUGAAGCUCAUAGGAAACAGAACACCAGGACCACCAAGGAGGUGCAAGAGAACCCCGGAGAGUCACUCCCAGUCCCCACAGGCCAGGUGCAGGCAGACUUCAGGCCUAUAGGAUCUCCCUUGUGUCCACCAACAGGGCCAGCUCUUCUGUUAGGUCCCUGUUAGGAUGCGGAGCAGGGCGUGGAGCGGAGCGGAGGCGUUGGGAGACAGAGCGGCAUGUGCCAGGCGGAUUGGUCUGCUGUGGUGGAAAAUGCUGUCCUGUCACCAGGGCUGAAGCAAGAUUCAGCUGCUAGUCCACUUGACUUUGAUACAUGGACUGGGAGGUUCAGGCUGACAUCUCCACUGUACACCUUUAGGCGCCAGGAGAAAACGUCCCUCUUCAACCUGGCCUUGGGCUGGGGGUUAUGGUUUGUGCAAGGGAGGGUUAUUGGUUCUGUUCUGUUCUUGCUUUUAUUAGGUAUUUUGUGUUUCUUAUCUUGUAUUUUUAUGUUGUGAACUGCUCUGAGGUCUAUGGGUGAAGGGCAGUAUACAAAUUU
rnacentral:lncRNA from 1 species